rnacentral:lncRNA from 1 species
AAUAUAUGCCAGGAUCAUCACAUGGUAGACAUUGUAAUACAACAUCCUCAGCAACAACCCUACAAUGGAUGUGGUGAUGAAGGCCGUAGAGAGUUUCCUCAAAAUACUCAUCAAGGGCCACAAAGACCUUUACAGGAGGAGCAACAAAGUAUAGCUGCCUGAGACAAAAAUCUAUUCAAGCUUAAAAUGCAAGAGCAUUAGCUGCUCAGAGCCGUCACCAAGGAGAGAUAAAAUACGUCUGCUCUCUCAAGACCUGGGAGAUGCUAGCAGUGUGAUUGUUUUUUUGGCUGGGAAAGCUGCUUAGCCGACAGAAAA